UCGGUCACGGUUAGAGCUAUGCUAAGUUGUUGCAGUUAAAAAGCUCGUAGUUGAAUUUCUGGCAUGGGCGACCGGUGCUUUCCCUGAAUGGGGAUUGAUUGUCUGUGUUGCCUUGGCCAUCUUUCUCUUUUCUUUGGGAGAAAUCUUUCACUGUAAUCAAAGCAAAGUGUUCCAAGCAGGUCGUAUGACCGGUAUGUUUAUUAUGGGAUGAUAAGAUAGGACUUGGGUGCUAUUUUUUGGUUUGCACGCCUGAGUAAUGGUUAAUAGGAACAGUUGGGGGUAUUCGUAUUUAGGAGCUAGAGGUGAAAUUCUUGGAUUUCCGAAAGACAAACUAAAGCGAAGGCAUUUACCAAGCAUGUUUUCAUUAAUCAAGAACGAAAGUCUGGGGAUCGAAAAUGAUUAAAUACCAUCGUAGUCUAAACCGUAAACGAUGCCAACUUGCGAUUGUUGGGUGCUUUUUUAUGGGCCCCACCACCCCCCCAUGAAAAAACAAAAUCUUUGGGUUCCCGGGGGAGAAUGGGCCCAAGGGUUAAACUUUAAGGAAUUUACGGAAGGGGCCCCCCCGGGGGGGGGCCCGGGGCUUAAUUUUACUCAACACGGGGAAUCCCCAAAAC
rnacentral:rRNA from 1 species